rnacentral:sRNA from 1 species
CAAGCCAGCUAAGGGAGCUCAAGACAACAAACACAGGGCUCGUCCGAGGAGGGAUCGUGGAACAGAAUAGAGUCGGACACAGAGAACCGCUUAGGUUGAGCGGUAGAAUCGAUAUAAAAACAGAAUAAGACCAGUCAAGAAUGCAGAAGUUGGUGCAGAAAUUGCGGGAGGUGGGAACAAGGGCUCUCGGAGAGAAAUAAAUAUCUUUUCUCUCCUCCUCUUCAAAUUCAACGAAAAGAGUUAAUCAAGUCGACAAGAAAAGUGAUCCCCGAGAUGAAGUGAUGAAAUGCCUUUUUUUCCACCUGGGCAACCUUCACCAGAUUUGAUUCCCGGGAGAUAACCAGCAACAG